UACGUAGGGGGCAAGCGUUGCUCGGAAUCACUGGGCGUAAAGGGUGCGUAGGCGGGUCUUUUAAGUCAGGGGUGAAAUCCUGGAGCUCAACUCCAGAACUGCCUUUGAUACUGAAGAUCUUGAGUUCGGGAGAGGUGAGUGGAACUGCGAGUGUAGAGGUGAAAUUCGUAAAUAUUCGCAAGAACACCAGUGGCGAAGGCGGCUCACUGGCCCGAUACUGACGCUGAGGCACGAAAGCGUGGGGAGCAAACAGG
rnacentral:rRNA from 1 species